rnacentral:rRNA from 1 species
UACGUAGGGUGGGAGCGUUAAUCGGAAUUACUGGGCGUAAAGCGUGCGCAGGCGGUUUUGUAAGCCAGAUGUGAAAUCCCCGGGCUUAACCUGGGAAUGGCAUUUGGGACUGCAAGGCUCGAGUGCGGCAGAGGAGACUGGAAUUCCUGGUGUAGCAGUGAAAUGCGUAGAUAUCUGGAGGAACACCGGUGGCGAAGGCGGCAUCCUGGACCGACAUUGACGCUGAUGAGCGAAAGCUAGGGGAGCAAACGGG